rnacentral:rRNA from 1 species
GAUGAACGCUGGCGGCGUGCUUAACACAUGCAAGUCGAGCGAGAAGUUUUGAAAAGAUUCUUCGGAUGAAAUUUAAAAUGGAAAGCGGCGGACGGGUGAGUAACGCGUAGGCAACCUGCCCCAUACAAAGGGAUAGCAUUUGGAAACGAAUAUUAAUACCUUAUGAAACUUAACUAGUGCAUGCUAGGUAGGUCAAAGAUUUAUCGGUAUGGGAUGGGCCUGCGUCUGAUUAGCUAGUUGGUGAGGUAACGGCUCACCAAGGCGACGAUCAGUAGCCGACCUGAGAGGGUGAACGGCCACAUUGGAACUGAGACACGGUCCAAACUCCUACGGGAGGCAGCAGUGGGGAAUAUUGCACAAUGGGGGAAACCCUGAUGCAGCAACGCCGCGUGAACGAUGUAGGCCUUUGGGUCGUAAAGUUCUGUUCUAGGUGAUGAAAACUGACAGUAACCUAGGAGAAAGCCCCGGCCAACUCCGUG